rnacentral:piRNA from 1 species
GCAAAUAACCCAGGAGGAGGCCA